rnacentral:misc_RNA from 1 species
GAUGAAGAACGUAGCGAAAUGCGAUAAGUAAUGUGAAUUGCAGAAUUCAGUGAAUCAUCGAAUUUUUGAACGCACAUUGCGCCCGCCAGUAUUCUGGCGGGCAUGCCUGUCCGAGCGUCAUUUCAACCCUCGAACCCCUCCGGGGGGUCGGCGUUGGGGACCUCGGGAGCCCCUAAGACGGGAUCCCGGCCCCGAAAUACAGUGGCGGUCUCGCCGCAGCCUCUCCUGCGCAGUAGUUUGCACAACUCGAACCGGGAGCGCGGCGCGUCCACGUCCGUAAAACACCCAACUUCUGAAAUGUUGACCUCGGAUCAGGUAGGAAUACCCGCUGAACUUAAGCAUAUCAAUAAGCGGAGGA